UACGAGGGGGGCGAGCGUUGUUCGGAAUUAUUGGGCGUAAAGGGUGCGUAGGCGGUUUGGUAAGUCUUAUGUGAAAUCUACAGGCUCAACUUGUAGUCUGCAUGAGAAACUGCCGGGCUUGAGUAUGGGAGAGGCGAGUGGAAUUACAGGUGUAGCGGUGAAAUGCGUAGAUAUCUGUAGGAACACCCGUGGCGAAGGCGGCUCGCUGGACUGCAACUGACGCUGAGGAACGAAAGCUAGGGGAGCAAACAGG
rnacentral:rRNA from 1 species